rnacentral:lncRNA from 1 species
UUGAAUCCCCUUCCUAUCUAAUUCUCUGUAUAACCUCACCCAAACCCUAUCUACCGCCACCCAAAUUAACCUUAAUCCCCUUCGAUUCUCACUCAAUCCAUGGAAUCCCAUAGUUGUUUGAGAAGUGUACCGGUCUCCUAUGCCUCUUGGUUUCCUGUUUUCGUGAUUUCAUGAAAAGAUCUCAAAGAGAUCUAGCCCAAACUUUGCUCAACUUCUAUCUAUGGUCUUUUCUAAGCCACGCAUGGCUGUUCAAGUCAGAUCCAUGGCUUUUCUGGCUAGAUCGGUAACUUUUCGAAGUUUUUCCCACUUUCUCUAGUUUUUCUGAAACCCUAGUUUUAAGAGCUUUCUUAUUUUCUUUCAGAUUUGUCUUAGAUUUGUGCAUGUUAUGAAUCUCUUGGUGUUUUUCUCAAAAAGUUUUUUGAUUUCUUUCAAAGUGACUAUUCGUCUUCAACGAUUAUAGUUUUCUUAACCUCUUUAAAAAAAGACUUUUUCUCCAAUUUUCAAUGUUGUCUUAUGAUUUACUAUGAUUAAGAGGUUUGUUUAUUUUCUUCUCUUGCCUGGUUCGUUGUGUUGAAAAUCCUAAGUAUUUUGGUUUUAUCCAAGGUUUGGAACUGUCUUUUUUUAUUUUGAUACUUGUUUCGACUGAGCUCUUUGUGUUUAGAUCCUUUCCUUUGUUUAACUUGACCGAUUCUGAGUCCUUAAGUUUUCAACUCAGCUUUGUUAAAGCCCUAAUGUCUUAAAGGUUUUCCUCACUUAUUACUGAGAGUUUUUAAAAGAUCUCCUUUACCUGUUACUAUAUGUUAGACUUAUUUCUUCAUUUUUUGGUUCUAUGUGACUACUUAACUUGUUGCUUACCAUGCUUCGAGUAAUCCUUAGCCUGCUCAUGUCACCUUUGUGUGAUUGUGUUCAUCCAGUUUGCUUCUUUUUCAUUGACCCUGCAUGUCUAAUACGCCUGUUCAUUCUUUUCUAUUUAUAUGUCGAAGUGCAGAAUCAUGACUCCUUCGUGAUUGAUCUUGAAUUCCUUAAGUUACGAUUUGAUUGUAAGGUUUUCUUAUAAACCCUUUAUUUUACUCGUUUAAGUUGAUUGAUUCCCUUCCUUUAUUUGUUGUGAUGUUUCACCCUUGCUGAAUCCUUUCCCCAGUUAAGUAUAUUUUGUACCUAGACUUAAUUGUAUACUCUAUAUUCUUAUUAUCCCUUAUAUGGUCAGAAACCAAUCUUCCUCAAAUUGAUUUUCUUUCCUUAAUUAUUCAUGUUGGUAACUGUUAAGCAGUAAUUCCUUGAUUAAAGGGAAGUACUUGUAUUAAUGGGACUCUUAUUGUGAUUAUUUUCAUAUUGUGUUAAACCUUUACUUGUUACCUUAUUUUUCACUCGCUUUCAAAGCUAUAAAGACCCUACCCUCUAUUCAUUAAGCACACGAACAACUAAGUUCAUAACACACACUUACACACUCAAACUCUCUCUUUCUCUACUACUUGUGCUACUGCUUUGUCUAGCUGGCUGAAAGCCAAGGCUAGAAUGUGGAACUUUGACUGCUUUACUUUUUUCUGUACUUUGCUUUUUCUAAAUGGUAUGUUCUAAAUUAGAUACCUUAUUUUAAUGAAUUAUGACCAAAUAAUUUCUGCUAUCUGUUCAGGCCCCUGACGGCCUUACCUUCCUCACAUCCUUAAACAUAUUUAACUGACCACAGAACCAAACAAGUUCGUAUCAGAAAUGAGUACUGCUUUUAGGCUUGCUACUAUGUCCACCAAUGAGUACUGGAGUAAACUUUUCUUGCUGGCUUUACCCGAUUUUCUUUUCUUUUUAAUCUUACAAAACAGAUUACAUUUAUUACAUAUGUUAUAGAUGGGUAAUAGUUAAAGUCGAACUAAGGGUUUCUAAACAUAGAUACACUCAAUUUGCUAAAACUAUAUCUUUCUGACCAUACUUUAAUUGUAUUUUGUAUUGAAAAUAAGGGAACGAGAGUGAGAGGAGGGGUGAAAUUUGAGGUGCAACAGGACAGACAGACAUCGAGAAUAUACGUUCCCUUGUUUGUCCAUCUCUAUCUCUUUCUGCACUAGCUUAAUAGCUCAUGUUGUUAAGUUGUUCUUCUUGUUAACUGCAUUACUCAUCAUGUUUAAAAUUCUGCCCUCCUUUGUUCAAAUGUAACCAACAUGUUUACUUGUUCCUGUUUAUGUCCCUCAACUAGCAUGUCUCCUAAUGUACUUGAUUAAUACUAAUUCAUGACUAAUUAUAUGUUUCUGAUUUGGGUCCUUUGUGUCCCCAACCCCUACUUCCAUGUUUGUAACUGCUCAAGUUGUACUACUCUUUUGAACUUGUUCUGCAUGUGUUGUUGUUGCUGCCAUCCCCUUUCCCUUUCAAAAACUGUUUCUACUAAGCAACUCUUAUGCUGCUUUGCAAACUUAUUUCAAACAUGCAGUCUUUCAAAACUGUUUACUAAAAAAACUCAUUUUUCAAAUAUGUGUUCCUACACUUCUACUAUACUCUUAGAUCAAUAGGUUCUGCCCCUUUUUGUGUGAGCCUUGCUUUGGGACCCUUGGGCUCCCUCUGAACCUGGACAUAUAAGAGUUGGCCCUUCCAUACUGCACUCACUCACUCACUCUCUUGGUUAUGCAAUCUGGAUGUGAGCACUGCUCGGAAUCCCUUGAGGUCCUUAGAGAACUCUGACACACCCAGACAUGAGAAAGACUUUGGAACAAUAUUGACAUUUGACGUGGUUUAUUACGCUACUCAUAGAGGAAGUCAGAAUAAGACUUCCUAUGGUUGGAACAUCUUAUUUUUGCAUUUUUUAUGUAGUUUAAUCAAAUGGUGUGUAAUAAUUUGUAAACAAAUAUGGGGUUGUCUAGUGAAAAGGGAUGGGAAAAUAUGCAUGCUAUAGUUGUUAAAGAGUAGAAAGCAUGUUAUUAGGUUUAUAUUCCUAAAAUUGCAAUAGAAAUCAUGUUUAGGAUUCAUACUUGCAUUAGAAAAUUAUGUUCUUAGGAUCUAUGUUUUCUUGCUUCAGCACUUCAUUCAUUAGUCCAUACUUUAUGUCUACCACUUAGAAAUCCUGCUCCUAGGGAAAUAACAACACAAUUAUAAAAAAGAAGUUAUUUCAAAAUCAUGCAAUUCUUGCGUACAUAUAGAAAUCAUGCCUUAGGGAUUCAAUUUUCAAUAACAUUGUAAUCUGUUUGCGCAUAUUAGAUACCAUGCUCUAGGGUUCUAUUUGCAUUCGUUUCAAAUGCCUAGUUAAUUACUAAUUCAUGAAAAGGGUAAUAAAGCAAUAAUUUUCCCGCUGUGAUGUUUUAUGAAUAAAAUUGGCAACAGUCUCUACAACUAGAACAACAUAUCUUAGGUAAUAAAAAUAAUCUCCUAGCUGUCUUAAUGACUUGGAAUAACUGCUGCAUCUCACUUUAUGCAUAGGCAAGCCUUAUGUAAUAACUUAAAUAAAACUGGAAUUGCCUUUGUUUAAUUAUCAGCUAUUACAAUCAGGAGCUAUUACAAUCAGGAGGCAAGCCCGAUUCAGACUUCUUAUCUGAGUCAUGUAAUAAAUCUGGUUCUCCUGAAAUAACUUAAAUGCCAUGCUUUAGGAUUUUUAAUUCAGGCCUUAACGGUGUAUAAGUCAUGCUGUGUGUAUGCAUUAUUUAGGGAGGUAUAACUGAGUCAUCUGCUUGUUUUCUAUGUUUCCUCCCUUUAAAUGUAGUCCUACUUGUUUUGUAUGUUGCCUUAGUAUUUUGCCUUUAAAUCUGAGGGUCGGCCUAGAACCUCCUUAUAGGAUAGAAGUCCUAAAUUCCUCCGGGACUGAUAGGAAGGGACAGGUAACAACAUGCAAUAAGAGUCGAGACUAAACUACGCUUUAAUUACCUCCAUGGGGUGGAAAAGGGUAGAUAUGUAUAUGAUGACCAGUGCAUUAAUACCACGUAUAGCCCCUCUUUUGAUUUUUAUUCUUUUCAAAAUCUUGCCCCUUUUAUUAGAUGCUUCUCUACAUAUGUGUAUUCAGCUUAAAUCUCGUACUAUUUGAGCCAAUACUUUCCUAUUGAUUGUACAAAUUCACAAAAAUUGUCUGGCCGGGAACCACACUAGUGGAUCUUGAGAGAUGCCUAACACCUUUUCCUUAGGAUAAUUUCAAGCCCUUAUCCUAUCUUCGGUUAUCAAAUGUAGUUGUAGAUAAGCCCUAUAGGUUUCCUAUUGCACUUUAAAUCAUGAAGUGACGACUCUUCAAAAUUGCAAACCCUUUCCCAAAAGGAAAAGAUUUAACCCAACCAAAAUGUCAUACACCCGACUUCCCGAUACGAGAGGGAAAAAAGGGGGCACGACAGACCCCAUACAUCUACAUGUAUCAAAUAAAAAAGUUUGUUUGGGCUUGAUAAGCUCUUAGAAAAUGGCAAGCAGCCUUGUCUAGCUAAAGGACAUAUUGUACAUUCCUUUAUUCUACUACUACUUGUCUUGGAAUUCAAGUUUGGAAUCUAUUUAACAACUCUAUCAAGAGCAUGUCCAAGUCUCCAAUGCCAAAUUCCCAGAUCCUAUUCUUUUCCAUGACCAUAAGCUACUUGCAUAUCUGCAGCAUUUGACUUAACCAUCUUUUGCUGCAGAUUGUAUAGGCCUUCUAGCUCCUUACCAAUCCUCUUCACCUUCCCAGUGUGAAUUUCCUGCAUUAUCCAAAAAUUAGGAUAAAAGGAUACAAAGCAUCUUAGAUCCUUUGUUAGUUUGAAGCUGAUAACAAAUUAUAUUUGAAACCUAGUACAUACAAUACAUUUUUAAUGACUUCUUCUUCAUCAAUUCUGCAUUCACUUGUGCAAGCUACGUCCAAAGGACUUUCCAUUUGGAAAGUACACCAUUGUAUCUAUAUUGUGAUAUUACUAUUAACUUUGCUUAGUAAUUUCUUAUUAUGAACCAUAUGAUAGGUUUCCAGAGUCCACUAUCCAAUUUGUAUCCUUUUCUUUGUCUUUAUUCUCUACUAUGUCGUUUACAACAAAAGUAUUGACAGUACCUGCAAAUUCCUUCAUGUGAUUAUUAGAGUUGUGUUUGUUGAUUAGCUUCAAUAUCUUAUCAUACUGCUCCAGAGUGAAUACUAUGCCUUGUCCUUGCACCGUGGUUGUUGUAGGAUGAUUCAUUGCCUGCUGCUCCUCCUGUAUUACUGCAUUAGCUGACUGCUUCCCCUAUGUCUGUUGUAUCUCAUGUGAUGUCACGUUUGCCAUAGGUAUUUGUUGAUAUCCACUAGCCUUCUUCCUCAUCUUGAAAUAUGAGGGCUUAACCAUGUAUCUUGUAGCAAUUAUCUAUGGGGUGCCCUUUGUAAUUACAAAAAUUACAAUAUAAAUUGUUCCUCCAAGGUCUAUAACUGUUUCCUGAAUUCACACUUUCCUUGUUGCUAAAUAAUGCAGCUCUAUCAGAUAGAUCAACAAUUUGUGUGAAUUUUUCCAAAGACCUCUGACUCUCUUCUGAUAUCACCAUGGAGUACGCCUUGUUAACACUUGGAACUGGAGUCAUCAUCAAAAUCUGGCUUCUAGGCUGACUAUAGGAUUCAUUUAGGCCCAUCAGAAACUGCAGUAGUCUCUGGAAUUCAAAAUGCUCAGCUUAAUUUUUGAUUAUAGACAAUCACAUCCCGGGUAGGACAUGAGAGCAUCAUAUUCUUCCCAAAGGCCUGUCAACUUAGCAAAGUAUGCUGACACUAAAGAAAUCUC